UUGGUAAUAUAGAAAGAAAUAAACAAGAACAAGUUAGAAAGAAUUCACCCAAAUCUGGAGUCGCGGAUUUGCUUAGAUCUGAUCAAGCUAGAGGCCUUUGUUUUCGUUCUCCACCGUUCAGAUUGUAGAACAAAGAGUCUCGAACAACAUAUCCAAAAAUCAGCCUGAUCUAACGGUGCAAUCGUCCGAUAUCGCGAUUUGAUGAACACUGCGCAGAAAAAAUCUGCUCCCUCUUUCUCUCUGUUUUUGUCUCUGCCAAUCUCUCUCUCUCUCUG
rnacentral:lncRNA from 1 species